rnacentral:lncRNA from 1 species
GGCGCCUGGCCUCUCUGAGCCUCCUCCUCAUCAUCCGUAAAAGGAGGAGAAGUCCGCUCCGCUUCUUGGGUCGGAGAUGGUCAGAAGAGACGUGUCCUGGCCCACAGGAGGUCCUCGGCUCCCGCCGUGAGCUCCUCUGCCCGUUUCCCAUGUCCUCUCAACUGCAGGGUCCUUACUGUGGCGGUCAAAGGGGACUGCCCAGCAGCCGGCUCUUCUGAGACCUUUAUUUGGAAUCAAGGGGGUCCAGGGAGGGUCUUCUCUGUUGUUUUUCUCUCCAGGAGACGAGAGAGGACAGAAGGAGUUUGCCACCCUCUGCCACUGUGUGUCUCUGAGAUGCCAUGUCCCCUCCCUGCAGCAGGGGCCCCAGCCAACACAACAAACACAAAAGUGUCUUCUCUGUGCCAGGGCCAUGCUGGAAACUGGGGGCACAGAGAUGAUCUCAGGAAGCUGCCUGAAAACAAGAAGAGGAGGUCAAGUACUCCAAGACACCACACAGUGCUCUCUCCCUCAGCUCUGCUCCCAGGACUCCUGAGUCCCCACAGCUGGUUCUGCAUCCCUGGCUUGCCCAGAAACUGCUCUGGCCGCCCUGGUUCGGAAGGGUGGGGGUCUGCGGGAUGGCAAAGGUGCCUUUCAGACAAAUGAAAAUCAACGACAUACUCAAGCAAGCGCUCUCUGUCUUGCCUGUGGUGUUAGGCAGCGAGAAAACCUGCCUCCUCAUUG